GACGAACGCUGGCGGCGUGCCUAAUACAUGCAAGUAGAACGCUGAAGGAGGAGCUUGCUUCUCUGGAUGAGUUGCGAACGGGUGAGUAACGCGUAGGUAACCUGCCUGGUAGCGGGGGAUAACUAUUGGAAACGAUAGCUAAUACCGCAUAAGAGUAGAUGUUGCAUGACAUUUGCUUAAAAGGUGCAAUUGAAUCACUACCAGAUGGACCUGCGUUGUAUUAGCUAGUUGGUGGGGUAACGGCUUACCAAGGCGACGAUACAUAGCCGACCUGAGAGGGGGAUCGGCCACACUGGGACUGAGACACGGCCCAGACUCCUACGAGAGGCAGCAGUAGGGAAUCUUCGGCAAUGGACGGAAGUCUGACCGAGCAACGCCGCGUGAGUGAAGAAGGUUUUCGGAUCGUAAAGCUCUGUUGUAAGAGAAGAACGAGUGUGAGAGUGGAAAGUUCACACUGUGACGGUAUCGUACCAGAAAGGGACGGCUAACUACGUG
rnacentral:rRNA from 1 species